GAGAUGAGGAGCUUGCUCUUCAAAUCGAGUGGCGAACGGGUGAGUAACGCGUGAGGAACCUGCCUCAAAGAGGGGGACAACAGUUGGAAACGACUGCUAAUACCGCAUAAGCCCACGGCUCGGCAUCGAGCAGGGGGAAAAGGAGCAAUCCGCUUUGAGAUGGCCUCGCGUCCGAUUAGCUAGUUGGUGAGGUAAUGGCCCACCAAGGCGACGAUCGGUAGCCGGACUGAGAGGUUGAACGGCCACAUUGGGACUGAGACACGGCCCAGACUCCUACGGGAGGCAGCAGUGGGGAAUAUUGCACAAUGGGGGAAACCCUGAUGCAGCGACGCCGCGUGGAGGAAGAAGGUCUUCGGAUUGUAAACUCCUGUUGUUGAGGAAGAUAAUGACGGUACUCAACAAGGAAGUGACGGCUAACUACGUGCCAGCAGCCGCGGUAAAACGUAGGUCACAAGCGUUGUCCGGAAUUACUGGGUGUAAAGGGAGCGCAGGCGGGAGAACAAGUUGGAAGUGAAACCCAUGGGCUCAACCCAUGAACUGCUUUCAAAACUGUUUUUCUUGAGUAGUGCAGAGGUAGGCGGAAUUCCCGGUGUAGCGGUGGAAUGCGUAGAUAUCGGGAGGAACACCAGUGGCGAAGGCGGCCUACUGGGCACC
rnacentral:rRNA from 1 species